ACGCACGCUGGCGGCGUGCUUAACACCUGCAAGUCGCACGGAAAGGCCUCUUUCGGGGGGUACUCGAGUGGCGAACGGGUGAGUAACACGUGAGUAACCUGCCCUUGACUUUGGGAUAACUUCAGGAAACUGGGGCUAAUACCGGAUAGGAGCUCCUGCUGCAUGGUGGGGGUUGGAAAGUUUCGGCGGUUGGGGAUGGACUCGCGGCUUAUCAGCUUGUUGGUGGGGUAGUGGCUUACCAAGGCUUUGACGGGUAGCCGGCCUGAGAGGGUGACCGGCCACAUUGGGACUGAGAUACGGCCCAGACUCCUACGGGAGGCAGCAGUGGGGAAUAUUGCACAAUGGGUGGAAGCCUGAUGCAGCAACGCCGUGUGCGGGAUGACGGCCUUCGGGUUGUAAACCGCUUUCGCUCAUGACGAAGCUUUGUGUGACGGUAGUGGGUAAAGAAGCACCGGCUAACUACGUG
rnacentral:rRNA from 1 species